rnacentral:rRNA from 1 species
AUACGGAGGGUGCAAGCGUUAAUCGGAAUUACUGGGCGUAAAGCGUACGUAGGCGGUCCGUUAAGUUAGAUGUGAAAGCCCCGGGCUUAACCUGGGAACUGCAUUGAAAACUGGCGAACUAGAGUUGAGCAGAGGGGAGUGGAAUUUCAGGUGUAGCGGUGAAAUGCGUAGAGAUCUGAAGGAACACCAGUGGCGAAGGCGACUCCCUGGACUCGAACUGACGCUGAGGUACGAAAGCGUGGGUAGCAAACGGGAUUAGAAACCCCAGUAGUCC